UCUCAAGUUAUAACACCAGGUCACUUUUUUAAAAACUUUUUAUGUCUCCAAGUACGCCGUAAUUUUCUAUGUAAAUUAGGCGGCCAUUGUCGAAUCUCGGCAAAGAUUUUACCCCAGUGAAAAAGGUUUGUAAUCUACCUUUUCUCAACCUGGAAGAUAUGUUUUGUUCCUAACCAUCUAUAAUCCAUUCUCUAUGAUGUGAAGCCUGGCUGCUGGUCUUCCUUUGGAAAUACACAGUUUGUCAAUCAACAUAGAAACACACAAACUUGAAGGAUUCUCUAGUGAGGGCUUAUGGAAAUGAUCUAUGUCUACUCUCAGAAUGGUGAAAGACUAUCAGAUUAUGCAAAGACUAACAGAAUAUCCUCUCUUGGAACACUGAAACAAGAAAAUCAAACAGGAGAUGGAUGGAGGAUUUAAGAAGCACAUAGAUAAAUAUGAUUUCCAACGAAUUUAACCAGUAUUAUCAUAGACUGUGGUUUACAAGAUGACAAAGUAACAGG